rnacentral:rRNA from 1 species
GAUGAACGCUGGCGGCGUGCUUAAUACAUGCAAGUCGAGCGAACGGACGAUAAGCUUGCUUUUCUGAUGUUAGCCGCGGACGGGUGAGUAACACGUGUAUACCCCACCUAUAAUACUGGGAUAACUUCGGGAAACCGGAGCUUAUCCCGGAUAAUCUUUUGAACCGCAUGGUUCAAAAGUGAAAGACGGUCUUUCUGUCACUUAUAGAUGGAUCUGCGCUGCAUUAGCUAGUUGGUAAGGUAACGGCUUACCAAGGGAACGAUGCAUAGCCGACCUGCGAGGGUGAUCGGCCACACUGGAACUGAGACACGGUCCAGACGCCUACGGGAGGCAGCAGUAGGGUAUCGGCCGCAAUGGGCGAAAGCCUGACGGAGCAACGCCGCGUGAGUGAUGAAGGUCUUCGGAUCGUAAAACUCUGUUAUUAGGGAAGAACAUAUGUGUAAGUAACUGUGCACAUCUUGACGGUAACUAAUCAGAAAGCCACGGCUAACUACGUG